AGAAUCAACGCUGGCGGCGUGCCUAACACAUGCAAGUCGAACGAGAAAGUGGAGCAAUCCAUGAGUAAAGUGGCGCACGGGUGAGUAACACGUGACUAACCUACCCUUGAGUGGGGGAUAAACCUAGAGAAAUCUGGGCUAAUACCGCAUAAUACCUUCGGGUCAAAGGAGCAAUUCGCUUAAGGAGGGGGUCGCGGCCGAUUAGUUAGUUGGCGGGGUAAUGGCCCACCAAGACUAUGAUCGGUAUCCGGCCUGAGAAGGCGCACGGACACACUGGAACUGAAACACGGUCCAGACUCCUACGGGAGGCAGCAGUGGGGAAUUUUGCGCAAUGGGGGAAACCCUGACGCAGCAACGCCGCGUGGAGGAUGAAGUCCCUUGGGACGUAAACUCCUUUUAUUUGGGAAGAAACCCCCGAUUUCUAUUGGGGUUGACGGUACCAGAUGAAUAGCACGGCUAACUCCGCGCCAGCAGCCGC
rnacentral:rRNA from 1 species